rnacentral:rRNA from 1 species
GACGAACGCUGGCGGCGUGCUUAACACAUGCAAGUCGAACGGAAAGGCCCUGCUUUUGUGGGGUGCUCGAGUGGCGAACGGGUGAGUAACACGUGAGUAACCUGCCCUUGACUUUGGGAUAACUUCAGGAAACUGGGGCUAAUACCGGAUAGGAGCUCCUGCUGCAUGGUGGGGGUUGGAAAGUUUCGGCGGUUGGGGAUGGACUCGCGGCUUAUCAGCUUGUUGGUGGGGUAGUGGCUUACCAAGGCUUUGACGGGUAGCCGGCCUGAGAGGGUGACCGGACACAUUGGGACUGAGAUACGGCCCAGACUACUACGGGAGGCAGCAGUGGGGAAUAUUGCACAAUGGGCGGAAGCCUGAUGAAGCAACGCCGAGUGCGGGAUGACGGCCUUCGGGUUGUAAACCGCUUUAGCCUGUGACGAAGCGUGAGUGACGGUAAUGGGUAAAGAAGCACCGGCUAAAUACGU